AUGGGAAAGUCUCUUCUUCAUCCAGGCACACGUGGGGCCAUUCGGGGUGUGGUCAGACGUGGGAGUGUCCCCUCCCUGGAGAAGAGCCCCGGCACUGGGUGCCUUAUCAGCCAUCCUGAAGUCUUCAAUUGCUUUCAUGCAGUUUAUACCCCCAUUCUGCAGAAGAAGCUGAGGUUCAGAAAGGAGACGAGACCUGUCCAGGCCACACAGCUGGCAAGCAGAAGAUCAGCAGACCACGCCAGCUUCCACUGGUUGUCAGCUACCAGUGACCAUUUGUCAGACUCACCUCGAAGCACAUCAUCAAGCAGCACGCGUCAGAUCUCUCCCAGAAAGCUGAGGAAACACUCAGGUCCUGGCCUCACAGGACCUUUGCUUAGUGUCCCCACACUGUCUGUGUCACCAGGGUCUAGAUUCUCAUUUGGCAUUUCUUGUCCUCUGAGAAGUCAUCUUUUUGGGUCCAGAAACCACAGGCUCUCUCAACCUCACAGGCCUCUUAACCAAUGAGGGGUGCACAAGUGUCACUUCAGGGUACAGGGCUCAUGGGAGUCUCUCCCUCUGGGAGAUGGAGGCCCUCUGUGUUUCUAACUCCAGGAGCCAUGGGCCCUUGGGGUUUCUAAGUCUGAGAGAUGGAGGGUGGGAAGAGGGGAGGAGGAGGAGGAGGAGGAGAGGAGGAGGAGGAGGAGGAGGAAGAGGAGGAGGCGGCAUGGGGUCUCUAUCUCGGGGAGACACAGCUCUUGGGGUCUCUCCCUGGGGGAAGACAGGGGCUCUCGAGACCUCUAACUCCAGGAGCCAAGGCCCACAGGGUCUCUAACUCUGGCAGAUGGGGCCCUCAGGGUCUCUAACUCUGGGAGACAGGUUCAGUGUCUACCCUCAAGAGGCCACUCUUUCUUUCUGCAGUUGCGAAGGAGAAUCUGCAGACAUAGCAUAAGGCACCAGGUAGAAAGCUUGUAUUCAUGGCUGGGGAUUUAGCUCAGUGGCAUAAGCGCCUGCCUGGCAAGCAUGAGAUCAUUAGUUCGAUCCCUGGUUCCAAAAUAAAUAAAUAAAUAAAGCAAGCUUGUGUUCACUGACACCUGCCUGUGAUCAGUCCUGAAAGUCACCCAGGAGCUGUGUCCCCAGGGCUGGGGUGAGCACCAGGCUGUGGCCAGGUCCUAGAGUGGCAGAAGCCAGGGAAAGUCCUGGCUGAGAAGCGGUCCAGCAGGCUGGGGUGCUCUGAGCAGGUGCUGAUGACUGAGAUCCACUGCAGGGUAGAGUCCUCACUUUGGAGUUCUGCUCUGGCCCAUGAGUUGUCCGUGCAGAAACCCGGGCUGUCACUGUCCAGAAUGGGUCCUGGGCCUGCCUUUCCAGCUUCUGGCUGAGGGUGUCUGAUGUUGUAUGACGCGCUUCAUAGGCUGCCAUCAGAUCCUGGGGACACGGCGCCCAGCCUGUGUCCACAGCAGGUCAGCAGAGGCAUGUGGGGAACGUGUCAGUUCUACCUCAAAGAACCUCGACCCCAAGAACCGGCAUGUGGUGGCGUCUCUGUCGAAGCAUCUUAGGGGCAGAAGUGUUCAGUGCCCUCAUGCAGAACUCCCUUCUGCUCUCCCGCUCCUAGAGCAAACUCACUGCCUUGGCACACUGUUCUCACUCCGCUGUCUGCGGCCAGGGCCAGAACCCUCCUUAGCAUAGCACAGGGCCUGCUCGAGGGGCCUUGUGGGGGUCACCUUGGCUCCCAGCGUGAAAAGCAACCCAGGAGCCCACCGCUCGUCCGCUCCCAGGAGCAGUGCAGGAAGGGGCCCAUGUGCAUUCUUCCCGAAGAGGCAGAGACAGCUGCUUCCCCCACCUGCUCCCAAAUGCAAGGCGACAGUAAUUUAGCAGAGUUCUAAAUUGAAAAGUAAGGCGCAGCACCAGCUGUCCUGGGGACUCUGGGUACUCUUGGCAGAAGUGGUCUGUCUGGCUGGUGCACCCUGGCACGGUGGCACAAGUUACGGAUCUUGUCAGCAGACAGGUGGAGAAGGGCGCAGAAUGGAGUGUGGCAGACAGAGCCGUGAGCUAACCUGACUUCUGCCCAGCAGCUCCCUACAUCUGAAGCCCCCAGUGCAGGCCGUGCCAGCUCCAGCUUGGCCUUGCGCCACAUGCACACCGAUGUGGCCACACCAGCCCUGCUGUCACACCCGAGGCUCCUUCCCUGCGCUUGCUGCCUGGGAUGCAAAGCCUCCCACGGCUGCUUCAGCGAAGCGUGCCUGCGGAAGUGCCUGGGAAAGGACUGAUGGGGAAUGAAACUCUGGUGUCCCCAACAGGGUGCUGUAUAAGCCCCCGCCCCCUGCAGCGUGCCUCUCUCUGCCCACCCAGCGAAGCUGCUCCAGCUGUUACGGCUUUGCAGUUGGGCCCGGAAGUCCAAGAUGGAAUUGUGGCCGUAGCUGUGAGGACUGCUGGUCCCAAGCUGGAGCAGAGUGUGUACAGCAGACGCUGGGUUCCCCAGAAGUCCUGCGGGUGGCCUGUUCUUUUUGAGGAUUACAUGGUGUUUCCUGUGACCUCUGUCUGGUUUUGAACUUUAGUUGCCUGUCACAUCUUGGCACCUUCAUCACCUGACCCUUCCAGAACUCCACAGCCACAGAGGGGCCAGCAGGACACGCAGGGGUGGACUGACCUCCCAGUGCAUGCCUGAGCUGUUGGAAAUGGUGGACUUAAGGUCUAGAGUGUGGCAGCCUGCAGUUAGCUGUCACAAGGAUGCUUAGGGUCAAGGCUGAUGCAGGGAGCAGGCCCGGCCAUCUUAGAGGUGGGGGGGGGGUGCAGAUGAUGGAAGAGCUGAGUUCUCCACCUCUCUCCUCCCUUCUCCAAGUUGGGCCAGUCCUGCUGCAGGACAGGAAACUGCCCAGGGACACAGAGCCCCAAACCCACCAAGAAUCCUUCGUCUCUCACCACAACCCCAGGCACAGACUGCACUGCAGGGAGCUCCGGGAGGUCAUCACUCUGAAGAUCUCUAGGGCAGCUGCUCGCUCUAAGCCUGGGGCCGAAGGUGGCUAACGGGCUGGUUAUGGAGCCAGCUGAGCUGAA
ensembl:lincRNA